rnacentral:snRNA from 1 species
GGAUGUGAGGCCAAUCUGGCUGCGACCUCUGUCAUUCCAUUGAUUGCCAGGGUUUAUGUGGCUGAUCUGGCUGGCUGUCCCCUUCCUCCUCACCACUCCAUGUGCAUCCCUCUUGAAGCUGCAUGCUCAUUGGAAGAGGACAACCAUCCCAGACAGAAGGAACGUACCAUUCUUCAGACAAGGGUAUACAACAGCUGCGCUCCUCUGCUAGAACCUCCAAACAAGCUCAAGGUCCAUUUGUAGGAGAUGUCAAGCUUCCAAGACUCCAGAUACAUCCAAGUAAGGUGCUGCAUGUGGCAGUAUGCCAUUCUUU